GAGCCACGCUGAGGGAUAUCUUAAGAACCAAUCAAAAGCGCAAGUCUGGAGCCGAAGUUGUGGGGGGAAUCGCCAAGCGUACCAGUUUUGGAGGUCACAGGUCCGCGGGGCGCAGCUAAUGGCGGAGCAAGCUGUGAGGGGAGGGUCGUCCAAUUGUCGUCAGCGUGAACGCGGGCGCCCAGUGAGUGUCUGAGAGAACCCCAACUCCAGACCCCAAAGUCUGCCCCGGCCCCGCGCCCGUCUCUGCCUCGUCGACUUUGUCUUAUACCACUUUCCCUUCCUUUUUCCCUGGGGAGUCCUUUUGGUCCCUCCCCUGCCUUUUCCCGCUCAGAAAGCCGAAUUUCGCAGAUUCUCAGCUCCGAGGAGAAAAUUUUGCCGGAAAUUAAAUCCUUCCUUCUGUUAGGCAGUAGUCGACUGAUGGGAGGAGCUAAAAGUCGCUUGGUGUCCUGACAAGAUGUGUUACUCUUUUGCUAAGAUCGUCAUCUCUAAUGCUUUGAGGGAGAUAACUUCUGCACACCUAGAACUUUCGGAUUACUACCGAGCUUGAAGAAUCUUAUUUUGGAAGAGACUUUUUGGUUUUUCUAGACAUUGGACUUUCAUGUACAGUUAAAUUUUCAAGAUAAUUUUGGAGACUAACAUGGAGUUUCUUACUUUCAUUUUUGCCAAGCAGACUGUCUUUGGACUGGAGCUGAACACCAGUUUGCCUGGGUCUCAGCCUGCCCACCUUCAGAUCAGAACUAUUUUAUCAGCUCUCGGUCUCCAGGCUGCUACUCUUCAGCGUGAAACUGAAGCAUCAGCUCCUCGUGGGUCUCCAGCUUGCCCACCCUCCCCUGCAGAUUUUGUACUUGCCAGCCUCCAUAAUCAUGUGAGCCAAUUCCUUAUGAUAAACCUCUUUCUCUAUAUAUGUAAACAUCCUACUGCUUCUGUUUCUCUGGAAAACCGUGACUAAUAUAGGGAAGUUAUUUAAUUUUCAUGUAUGUUUAAUCAUGGUAUUUUGAGUUGAGUAAAUAAGACAAUGUAUUUCUUUCAAGUGAUUAAAAAAGACACCAUCAUGUGUCACCCAAAGCAAAUUGUUGGUUCUAUUCUAAAGCUUAUAUUUUACUUCUUUUUUGUUGUUCCUUCACUGUUUUUGUUCUUUAAUUCAUUUUCUCAGAUUUGUGUUGUUAGUUUUAGAACUUGAAUUUAAUUCACUUCCACAGCUCAUCAAAUAGGUAUAUAUUUUAAGUUUCAAAUCAAGUUUUCUGCCAUAAAAGAUCAAUCUCUACUUUCAGGAUGGAAGUUCUCAAACCCAUCUUUGUACAUAAUUAUAACAAUUCUGGGGAGAGUAACAUAGAUAUGAAAGAUUAGCAUAAUAAACUAUACUUCAGUCAUCAA